GCGAAGCAUCUCUGAUUUCUUAAGUUUCUUCAUGGCAAACACAUGACCUGUUGUCUUUUCCCUACAAACUCUAACCUCCCCAAAUGCACCCUUGCCAAUCAUUGUCAGUAAUUCAAAGUCAUCAACACCCAUUUUAUGCCUCUGCAGGCGCAUGUAUUCAGUUUCUUUCUUCUCCAAAAACUUAAGUAAGUUGUUCUGAUCUUCCUCCGACACAUCGGCGUCAGCCAACUUCUUUUCCAGUAUCGUUCGUCGCUCCUUCCUCUCCUGGAGAUUCUUCAUUUGCUCCUUAUAAUGGUUCUCAAUAUACUGCUUAGCGGCAGCAACUUUCUGCUUGGUGGUGUUGGAAAGAGAUUCAUCAUCUUCUGGCGAUUUCUCCUCAUCUUUACAUUCAUCAAACGUAUUUUUCUUCCUAGAAGAAGCCCUCAUCUUGUCCCGCGGCUGAAGCUUCUGAAGCCAACUCCUCGCCGAAUCCAUGUGAAACCUCAAAACCAACCACACGACGCGCCUCCUCAGCCACUAUCGUCCACCAUAUCCAAAAAACAACCACAAAUCCUCGUAGAAUUUGCAAAAGAGGAGCGGAAUUGCAGUGAAAUAAAAGGAAAUGAAAAAAGAAAAUUAAAUGAAAAUCCUACGGAAGAGAAAUCGGAUUUAACUCUGAAUUUGUGUUAAGAAAGAGCGGUGUGGCUAUUUAUGAAUGUGAUGAAGGAAAAGAAAAGAAGAAUGGAAUGGAUCGAUGUGGAUUAAUGUGAUGUGUUUGGACGCAGAGAAAAUUUGAUGAGAAAAAUAGUAAAGGGAAUUUCUGUUGAUGUCCGCGCGAUUCUCUCUGGUUUGAAAUGGGAAGGAUGGAGGGAGGA
rnacentral:misc_RNA from 1 species